GUGUGACCCCAGGAUGGGCAGGAUGACCCGCUGAGUUUAAGCAUAUCAAUAAGCGGAGGAGAAGAAACUUACGAGGAUUCCCCUA
rnacentral:rRNA from 1 species